rnacentral:lncRNA from 1 species
CAAGGACAAGGCCUACAAGUGGUGGGGUGAGGAUAUGAGUCCAAGCCAUCUGAUGCUGCAGUCUGUACAAUGUGUCGCCCUGGGAAAAUGCCUGCUAUUUUGUUUAUCCUUACAUCAACCCCAGCUGGGGAUGGAUGGCUUACAUGAACCCUAUAGCCUCGACCCCUACUGUGUUUGCUGCCUCACAUGUGGCUGGGGGCCAUUUUUCAAGUUCAGGAGGAAGGCAAUGAGCAGGUAUGGGGAGGAGGUGCUCCCUGUCAGGUGCGGGAGAGGAUUGUAUGGGGAGCCCUUUCUCUCCCAAAGGGGGUGUAGACUCAAUCUGUCGCCACGGGGCUGUGCAUCUGGGUUACACUCAGCUGGACCAGUUCUACUCUGGUCUGUGUGGCAGGUGUGCCAUGCAUCGCUGAAUGGUGCCUUUGUCUUUCCGCACUGGAGUCUGGUCUGUAAGAUCAAGUGAGGCUCCAGAGCUGAUCUGGAGGAGGGUGAGUGUGCUCGAUCCCACUGAACUGUGGCAUCACC